AAAAAUGUUUCUUAAGAACAUUGUGACGACCCUCCUCUUGGACACCAGGUGAGCCUGUUCAGAAGCUGAGGGUCAUCAGCUGAUUGAGCCACACCUGGGAUCAAGUGACUCAAACUGCAUCAAACCUCCCUCACUUCUAGUGUGUCUCUCUGACAGGAGCUGUUUCCUUCUGGACCUCCAGAAGCCUGGUUUUGGUUUGGUUUAUAGUCUUUCGUGCACCUUGUUGGCUUGGUUUUGCAUUACAAUAAAACCUUUUUUUUUUUUUAGUCACCACCCUGUUGUUGUCUCACUGUUUUGUUGCAGCUUCAGAGCCGAGAUGUAACAAAUGGGGGCUCGUCUACACAUUAGGGGAACCAGUGUAAGUGUUUGUAGCUUUGCUGGGUGAUUGCCAUCGUGGGCAGAGACUGGUAAUUUUUGUGAAUGAAGACAGGUGCUGUCUGGAGUGACUCUAGGUGUGGCCUGGCUGUUCAGCGUUUUAUGGAAGUCUGCGCGUUCUGGUUGUUGGGAGACAUGUGCGAGUGGCUGAGACCAGAGGCUGGUCUGAUGCUGAGAGGACGUUACUCCUGCAGUGUGUUCUAACAGCAGGGGGUUCAAAUUGAUUGACGGACGUAGUUCCAGUAUACACCUGAACACUCCUGGACAGACCAGUGUUCUGUGGCUGCAGUGCAGAGUCUGCUGACGGUGUCUCUGCUUAUCGGCGGCGUCAGGGUCGGACAUCCGAGAGAGGUUUCCUGUUUGCACAGCUACCCAGUCAGUGUUUGGUGGAGAGGCAGAAUCAGGCUUCAAGCCGAGUGGUCCAGAGAGUAUCCUUCACUGUGGUGAUACCUGAUUCUUUCCCUUCAGUUUCUCACAGUGACCUGGCAGCAGAACAACAAGCUGAUCCUUCCCUCAGUGCAAUGUUUGAUUCUUCGCUUUUGGAUGGGGAGAGUUCUGCACAGGGUUAUCUGGCGAAAAACAAUCUGUUGGUAAGGAAAUGGGUGCCAACUGGGAAAGGUUUCAUUUGUGAUCCUGUUUUUCAGGUUGUUGUGCCUUCGGUGUGCCGUGGGGAGAUACUGAGGACAUCUUAUGACCAGUAUGGACAUCUGGGGGUGCGUAAGAUGUAUUGUCACCUCCGAAAGUACAUCUUUUGGCCUGGUUUGAAGAGAGAUGUCUCUCUAUAUGUUAGGUCGAAGAGGAGUCAGUCUUCCCCUCCGCAGAGUAAAAAGAAGGGCUCAUAUGACCGUAAAGCUGAGGUUCAUCAGUUUGUUAGUCUGCUUAAACCUAGGCCCAGCAGCAUCAGUCCCAUAAAGGGGUGGAAAAGGGUGCAGACUACACAAACUGGUAAGUGAGUGCUGGCCAAGGUCAUGUCUUUAGGCUGCCCAAGGUCUUUCAGCUGUCCAGAGCCCUGGCUGGUGAAAUGUGCUUGGAGGAUCCAGUGCUUAGACCUCCUAGGCCCUGUCUGUUUCUUCCAACCCUACCACUCUUAAAGCGCUUCGCCCAUCACCGGGGGGUUGCUGGGUGUAGGAUUGGAAAGGUGGGUUGCCUGGAGGGAGGGUCUGCGCAGGGUGGUCUGGACAUUGUGUACCAACAGUUAUGGGAUCUGCAGAAAGUAUUUUGGUGACCAUUUAUCACAGCAAGCGAUUGUAUUGUGUACUGUUGAUGUGUGCUGUCUCAGACUCCCAGGGGAAGCCUCAUCUUAAGGGGGAGUGUGUGACGACCCUCCUCUUGGACACCAGGUGAGCCUGUUCAGAAGCUGAGGGUCAUCAGCUGAUUGAGCCACACCUGGGAUCAAGUGGCUCAAACUGCAUCAAACCUCCCUCACUUCCAGUGUCUCUCUCUGACAGGAGCUGUUUCCUUCUGGACCUCCAGAAGCCUGGUUUUGUUUAUAGUCUUUCGUGUACCUUGUUGGCUUGGUUUUGCAUUACAAUAAAACCUUUUUUU
ensembl:lncRNA